UUGAACGCUGGCGGCAUGCCUUACACAUGCAAGUCGAACGGUAACAGGUCUUCGGAUGCUGACGAGUGGCGAACGGGUGAGUAAUAUAUCGGAACGUACCCAGUUGUGGGGGAUAGCCCGGCGAAAGCCGGAUUAAUACCGCAUAAGUCCUGAGGGAGAAAGCGGGGGACCUUCGGGCCUCGCGCGAUUGGAGCGGCUGAUGUCGGAUUAGCUAGUUGGUGGGGUAAAGGCCUACCAAGGCGACGAUCCGUAGCUGGUCUGAGAGGAUGAUCAGCCACACUGGGACUGAGACACGGCCCAGACUCCUACGGGAGGCAGCAGUGGGGAAUUUUGGACAAUGGGCGCAAGCCUGAUCCAGCCAUGCCGCGUGAGUGAAGAAGGCCUUCGGGUUGUAAAGCUCUUUCAGACGGAAAGAAAUCGGGCGCGUGAAUAGCGUGCCUGGAUGACGGUACUGUCAGAAGAAGCACCGGCUAACUACGU
rnacentral:rRNA from 1 species